rnacentral:rRNA from 1 species
UGACCGCUGGCGGCGUGCCUACCACAUGCAAGUCGAACGAAGCACCUUACCUGCUUCUUCGGAUGAAAGUUUGGUGACUGAGUGGCGGACGGGUGAGUAACGCGUGGGUAACCUGCCCUGUACAGGGGGAUAACAGCUGGAAACGGCUGCUAAUACCGCAUAAGCGCACGAGGAGACAUCUCCUUGUGUGAAAAACUCCGGUGGUACAGGAUGGGCCCGCGUCUGAUUAGCUGGUUGGCAGGGUAACGGCCUACCAAGGCAACGAUCAGUAGCCGGUCUGAGAGGAUGAACGGCCACAUUGGAACUGAGACACGGUCCAAACUCCUACGGGAGGCAGCAGUGGGGAAUAUUGCACAAUGGGGGAAACCCUGAUGCAGCAACGCCGCGUGAGUGAAGAAGUAUUUCGGUAUGUAAAGCUCUAUCAGCAGGGAAGAUAAUGACGGUACCUGACUAAGAAGCUCCGGCUAAAUACGUG